AAUACGUUCCCGGACCUUGUACACACCGCCCGUCAAGCCGUGGAAGUUGGGAGGACCUGAAGACAGUUGCUGUAAGGCGCUGUUUAGGGUUAAACCGAUGACUGGGGCU
rnacentral:rRNA from 1 species